rnacentral:rRNA from 1 species
GGGAAAACUUACCGGGUCCGGACACACUGAGGAUUGACAGGCGAAGUAAAUAUGCUAGUCCUUUCAUGAUUGUGUGAUAGGUGGUGCAUGGCCGUUCUUAGUUCGUGGAGUGAUCUGUCUGCUUAAUUGCGUUUCAGAUAAAUUUGGAUAAAUGUAGUGACAAUGUGCUUAGUGUAAUAGCUAACACGUUUAACUCUAUAUCCAUUGAAAGCAACGA